rnacentral:rRNA from 1 species
GGAUAAGCCUGGGAAACGUGGGUCUAAUACCGGAUAGGACGAUGGUUUGGAUGCCAUUGUGGAAAGUUUUUCGGUGUGGGAUGAGCUCGCGGCCUAUCAGCUUGUUGGUGGGGUAAUGGCCUACCAAGGCGUCGACGGGUAGCCGGCCUGAGAGGGUGUACGGCCACAUUGGGACUGAGAUACGGCCCAG